GUCGAGCGGAGUAAGGUGAAACUUGUUUCACCUAGCUUAGCGGCGGACGGGUGAGUAACACGUAGGUAACCUGCCCAUAAGACUGGGAUAACUACCGGAAACGGUAGCUAAUACCGGAUAGGUUCUUCUCUCGCAUGGGAGGGGAAAGAAAGACGGAGCAAUCUGUCACUUAUGGAUGGACCUGCGGCGCAUUAUCUAGUUGGUGAGGUAACGGCUCACCAAGGCGACAAUGCGUAGCCGACCUGAGAGGGUGAUCGGCCACACUGGGACUGAGACACGGCCCANACUCCUACGGGAGGCAGCAGUAGGGAAUCUUCCGCAAUGGGCGAAAGCCUGACGGAGCAACGCCGCGUGAGUGAUGAAGGUUUUCGGAUCGUAAAGCUCUGUUGCCAGGGAAGAACGUCUCUUANAGUAACUGCUAAAAGAGUGACGGUACCUGAGAAAAAAGCCCCGGCUAACUACGUGCCACCAGCCGCGGUAAUACGUAGGGGGCAAGCGUUGUCCGGAAUUAUUGGGCGUAAAGCGCGCGCAGGCGGUCAUUUAAGUUGGGUGUUUAACCCCAGGGCUCAACCCUGGGUCGCACCCAAAACUGGAUGACUUGAGUGCA
rnacentral:rRNA from 1 species